rnacentral:rRNA from 1 species
GAGGGAAAGGCGAAAAGAACCCCGGCGAGGGGAGUGAAAAAGAACCUGAAACCGUGUACGUACAAGCAGUGGGAGCACGCUUAGGCGUGUGACUGCGUACCUUUUGUAUAAUGGGUCAGCGACUUAUAUUCUGUAGCAAGGUUAACCGAAUAGGGGAGCCGAAGGGAAACCGAGUCUUAACUGGGCGUUAAGUUGCAGGGUAUAGACCCGAAACCCGGUGAUCUAGCCAUGGGCAGGUUGAAGGUUGGGUAACACUAACUGGAGGACCGAACCGACUAAUGUUGAAAAAUUAGCGGAUGACUUGUGGCUGGGGGUGAAAGGCCAAUCAAACCGGGAGAUAGCUGGUUCUCCCCGAAAGCUAUUUAGGUAGCGCCUCGUGAAUUCAUCUCCGGGGGUAGAGCACUGUUUCGGCAAGGGGGUCAUCCCGACUUACCAACCCGAUGCAAACUGCGAAUACCGGAGAAUGUUAUCACGGGAGACACACGGCGGGUGCUAACGUCCGUCGUGAAGAGGGAAACAACCCAGACCGCCAGCUAAGGUCCCAAAGUCAUGGUUAAGUGGGAAACGAUGUGGGAAGGCCCAGACAGCCAGGAUGUUGGCUUAGAAGCAGCCAUCAUUUAAAGAAAGCGUAAUAGCUCACUGGUCGAGUCGGCCUGCGCGGAAGAUGUAACGGGGCUAAACCAUGCAC